AUUGAACGCUGGCGGCAUGCCUUACACAUGCAAGUCGAACGGUAACAGGUCUUCGGAUGCUGACGAGUGGCGAACGGGUGAGUAAUACAUCGGAACGUGCCCGAUCGUGGGGGAUAACGGAGCGAAAGCUUUGCUAAUACCGCAUACGAUCUACGGAUGAAACCAGGGGACCGCAAGGCCUUGCGCGGACGGAGCGGCCGAUGGCAGAUUAGGUAGUUGGUGGGAUAAAAGCUUACCAAGCCGACGAUCUGUAGCUGGUCUGAGAGGACGACCAGCCACACUGGGACUGAGACACGGCCCAGACUCCUACGGGAGGCAGCAGUGGGGAAUUUUGGACAAUGGGCGAAAGCCUGAUCCAGCCAUGCCGCGUGCAGGAUGAAGGCCUUCGGGUUGUAAACUGCUUUUGUACGGAACGAAAAGACUCUUUCUAAUAAAGAGGGUCCCUGACGGUACCGUAAGAAUAAGCACCGGCUAACUACGUG
rnacentral:rRNA from 1 species